rnacentral:tRNA from 1 species
GCCUCUGUAGUUCAACGGAUAGAAUAGCGGUUUCCUAAACCGUUGAUCUGGGUUCGAUUCCCAGCGGAGGUA